rnacentral:miRNA from 1 species
AAAAGGCGCAUUUAAAUUUGAAUUUCAGGUAAAAAAUAAACUUUUUUUUUAGUAUAAGUGUAUCCCAUGCAAUAUUUGGGAUACACUUAUGCUAAAAAUUAUUCGUUGUUUAUCUGAAAUUCAAAUUUAACUGGGCAUCUUAUA